rnacentral:rRNA from 1 species
GAUGAACGCUGGCGGCGUGCCUAAUACAUGCAAGUCGAGCGAACGGACGAGAAGCUUGCUUCUCUGAUGUUAGCGGCGGACGGGUGAGUAACACGUGGAUAACCUACCUAUAAGACUGGGAUAACUUCGGGAAACCGGAGCUAAUACCGGAUAAUAUUUUGAACCGCAUGGUUCAAAAGUGAAAGACGGUCUUGCUGUCACUUAUAGAUGGAUCCGCGCUGCAUUAGCUAGUUGGUAAGGUAACGGCUUACCAAGGCAACGAUGCAUAGCCGACCUGAGAGGGUGAUCGGCCACACUGGAACUGAGACACGGUCCAGACUCCUACGGGAGGCAGCAGUAGGGAAUCUUCCGCAAUGGGCGAAAGCCUGACGGAGCAACGCCGCGUGAGUGAUGAAGGUCUUCGGAUCGUAAAACUCUGUUAUUAGGGAAGAACAUAUGUGUAAGUAACUGUGCACAUCUUGACGGUACCUAAUCAGAAAGCCACGGCUAACUACGUGCCAGCAGCCGCGGUAAUACGUAGGUGGCAAGCGUUAUCCGGAAUUAUUGGGCGUAAAGCGCGCGUAGGCGGUUUUUUAAGUCUGAUGUGAAAGCCCACGGCUCAACCGUGGAGGGUCAUCGGAAACUGGAAAACUUGAGUGCAGAAGAGGAAAGUGGAAUUCCAUGUGUAGCGGUGAAAUGCGCAGAGAUAUGGAGGAACACCAGUGGCGAAGGCGACUUUCUGGUCUGUAACUGACGCUGAUGUGCGAAAGCGUGGGGAUCAAACAGGAUUAGAUACCCUGGUAGUCCACGCCGUAAACGAUGAGUGCUAAGUGUUAGGGGGUUUCCGCCCCUUAGUGCUGCAGCUAACGCAUUAAGCACUCCGCCUGGGGAGUACGACCGCAAGGUUGAAACUCAAAGGAAUUGACGGGGACCCGCACAAGCGGUGGAGCAUGUGGUUUAAUUCGAAGCAACGCGAAGAACCUUACCAAAUCUUGACAUCCUUUGACAACUCUAGAGAUAGAGCCUUCCCCUUCGGGGGACAAAGUGACAGGUGGUGCAUGGUUGUCGUCAGCUCGUGUCGUGAGAUGUUGGGUUAAGUCCCGCAACGAGCGCAACCCUUAAGCUUAGUUGCCAUCAUUAAGUUGGGCACUCUAAGUUGACUGCCGGUGACAAACCGGAGGAAGGUGGGGAUGACGUCAAAUCAUCAUGCCCCUUAUGAUUUGGGCUACACACGUGCUACAAUGGACAAUACAAAGGGCAGCGAAACCGCGAGGUCAAGCAAAUCCCAUAAAGUUGUUCUCAGUUCGGAUUGUAGUCUGCAACUCGACUACAUGAAGCUGGAAUCGCUAGUAAUCGUAGAUCAGCAUGCUACGGUGAAUACGUUCCCGGGUCU